AGAGCGCCGUCGACCCCACGCCACGCAGAGGUGAAGAUACGCAGGACGUCCUCUAAAGCAACUUCCGUGGGUGCCAGGUUGUGGGCUGGGGGCGGUGCUGACCUUGAGAGAGCGGAGGAGGCGCAGGCGCAGCACAGGUACGUGGGCGGGCGGAUCGUGGUGGCUGCGCUUGCGAGGACCCUGAGGUAGAUUGGGUGGUUUCAACAGGAACGCAUCCACUGUCUGAGAGGUGGCAAUUGAAGCCGGAAGAACAUCUACCAAGAGCAGAGAACCCAGGAAGAAAAUUCUGCCUCUUUAAUACGUUCCAAUAUGGACGUUUUCCAUAUAGAUACCUAUCUAUAUAGAUAGAUGCUCUGGGAUCUGACGGUCCUGGACACCUGUAUGGCUGUGUGCUGUGGUCUUUGCCUAGCCUGCGGUUCACUUUUGCUCUGGCCACCACCUCCCCUCAUGUACAAACCGCGUCUCUGCUCUGCCAGUCUUGGCCCCCGUCAGGCAGCGGUUCACUCCCUCACCAGGGAAGUCUAGAUAGAUAGAUAUAGAUAGAUAUCGAUCGAUAGAUAUAGAUAUAUAUAUAGAUAGAUAGAUAGGUAGAUAUAUGGAUAGAUAUAGAUAUUUGGAUAGAUAUGUAGACGUCUAUCUAUAAAUAUAUCGAUAUAUCGGGGUUCUCAGCCAUCCCAAAGAAGCUUGCACAGGGCCAGUUGCUUUAUGUCAGGAAAAGGGACACAGACUGAGUGUAUGAGGGUUUUUUUUUUCUAUAGAUGUAUAGAUAUUUAUAUCAGAUGCAAAUAAGUGAAACUCUCAUACAACUUUUAAUUUUGUGUUUUUUCCAAACUCUAUUCCAUUCAACUUUUUCUGCCUUUUUAUUUGAUUAUAAUGAGACAUCGUACUGGAGGCAGGCUUGAAAUGGAUAUACAGAGCACUUUCAACCCAGAAAUUUGUCUCACGACUUGGGGUCCUUACUUAAGUUGUAGCUGUUAGUAAUUUCAUCCAUGAAUUCACUUUGUGCCAUAGUGUGAUGUUUUGUUAUGAAGUUGGAAUUGGGAAGGGAAACUAGGAAGUUUUGGGAGAAGUUAAGAAGGUUGAGUAGGCAGGCGUUGUUAUAGAUAUUAAAUUUCACCCUGCUUAUCAAAGUACCUGGAGCGUAUGGUAUCCAAGCUGUAAAUGGCCCAAAGGAAUCGGGGUUCUCAGCCAUCCAAAAGAAGCAUGCACAGGGCCAGUUAUUUUAUGUCAGGAAAGGGGACACAGACUGAGUGUAUGAGGGUUUUUUUUUUUGUUUUUUUUUUUUAGUUUAAACUUGAUUUUGUGAGGGGACGAACAGCGUGACAAUUAAAAGAAGAUCUGGGAAUCGGACAAGGUUGUAAAUAGACAAGCCACAGGCACCUGCAAAUGGUAAGUGUGGUAGAGAGGGGCUGGAAUUGCCUGUUGGUGUAUCUGUGGGAAGCAGCUGCUAUCCUUGAGGAAGAAAAGAUGGAGAAGGUAAGUGGCUAUCAACCUGUCAGAGACAACACAUUCUGUGAAGUUGUACUCUUUCAUUUCUGACACUGUGGUUCUUAAUAUCUGUCCUAAACCUGGCAGUCAUUGAGGUUCGCAAAGUAUCUCCUUCUAUGUGACAGUAAAACUGGAAUUACUAUCAGAAUGGAAUCCAUUCCUGCUAGAGUAAAACCAUGAAAAGAAAUCGCAGUUUUGAUUAUCUGCUUAUCAUUUUUAAUAGAUCACAGAGUGCAGUGUUCCUUAUUUGUUGUAUGGCAAGUUGAUGAAUAACUCUUGAUUAAUAUCUUUUAAUGUUCUGUUUCACACAGUUCUCUCAAUUACAUGUGAAAAAUCUGUUAUAUAAGUAAUGCUAUUUAAUGAUUAAAAUGGAUAUAUGUUUUAAGGUAGUGCCACCCAGUCUUUUUUUUUUGGUAGAAUAAUAUUAUUAUCUAUUGGUUGCCUGCCUUGAAGUACAGUAAUUUCUCUGUUUCCAUUAUUUAAAAUAGGUGAGUGUCUUUGACAAAGAUACAAAGAAAGGGGACAGUUAUGAAAGGGAAGAAAAGAUAGAUGGAGAUGAAAAGAAAUUCAGUAGUUUCAGCAAGGGAAUUAGGAGCAUAAUCUUUGAGAAAAGUCUUGGUUGCUUACCAUUCGGGCUUUGUGAUGAGUUGAAAUGUCCUGAAUGAGAACUGUUCUCAAAUGCUUUCAAGACCAACAAAAAGUACGAUACCCACACUGACCUGGAACUCUUUAAACCAUUAAGAUAUAUCACUUUUUCGCAGUUCAGUCCAUAUUUUUUGCAAAAUGUUCUGCUUAGUUUUUCUGCUAAGAAAUUACUGUUUCUGAACAAGGUUAAGUGUCGUAUGCUUUCAUUGUAGUUUUUUUUCCCCUAACAUAUACUGUUUUCCUAAUUAGACUAUAAAUUCCUCCACAGCUGGGACCUUGUUUUGUUUUCUCGCCUUCCCCAUAACAAAUAUCAUUUAAGUGAAUGUUGUAAACAGUUACUUCAUUUAAAUUGCCCUUAAAAUGCUUUAUGACAAAGACGUUAUUUGUAGUAAUACCUAUAAUGGUAAAAAGUUUGUUGCAGUCUUACAGACGAUAAGAUUGAUCAAUUGUUAUAUAUGCUUAGUGGAAUUUUAUCUAGCUGUUCUAAAGAGCCAUUAGACUAGUCUUUCUAAUGGAAAAUGUUUAUUGUCUAAGUUAAAACAGCAUUUGAGGCCAGGCACAGUGGCUCACUCCUGUUAUUGCAGCACUAUGGGAGGCUGAGGUGGGAGGAUCACUAGAGCACAAGAGUUGGAGACUAGCCUAGGCAAUAUAGUGAGACCUCUUCUCUACAAAAAAUUUAAAAAUUAGCUGAGUGUGAUGGGGUGUGCCCGUAGUUCCAGCUACUCAGGAGACUGAGGUGGGAGGAUCACUUGGGUCCAAGAGGUAGAUGUUGCAGUAAACCAAGAUCAUGCCACUGCACUGCAGCCUGGGCAACAGAGCAAGAUCCUGUCUCAAAAAAUUAAAAAGCAUUUUAUAGACUGCAUGUUUGUGUCCCCCCUCCCUCCGCACCAGAAUUCAUAUAUUGAAGCCUUAAUCUCCAAUGACAUGAUAUUAGUAGGUGGGGCCUUUGGGGGGUGAUUAAAUAAUAAGGGUGAAGCCCUGCAUGGGAUUAGUGCCUUUACAACAAGAGACCCUAGACAGCUUGCUUCCACUCUUUCUUUGCUCUUCACCAUGUGAGGACACAGCAAGAAAACAGACAACUACAAAUCAGGAAGAGGGCCUAAUUUGUGCCAACCAUGCUGGCACUCUUCUCUAACUUCCCAGCCUCCAGAACUGUGAGAAAUAAAUUUCUGUUGUUUAAGUCACCCAGUUUAUGGUAGUUUGGUUAUAGUUGCCCAUAUUAAGACAGCAGGAUGCAAAAUUGUGGCCAGUAUGAUUGCUUUGACAUGAAACAAAUUUUAAGCACAAAUUGCAAAAAGUAACCAAAAUAUAUCAAUCCCCACUGCUGGCAUUAACACUCUAAAACAAACUUUGUAUAUUGGGGGAUUUUAUUUAUUUAUUUAUUUAUUUUUUUUGCUGACCAUAGUGACUCAUGCCUAUAAUCCCAGCACUUUGGGAGGCCGAGUUGGGCAGAUCACUUGAGGCCAGGAAUUCAAGACCAGCCUGGCCAACAUGGCAAAACCCCCUCUUUACAAAAAUAUAAAAAUUAACCAGGCAUGGUGGCACACCCCUGUAGCCCCACCUACUUGGGAGGCUGAGGUGGGAGGAUCGCUUGGGCCUGUGAAGCAGAGGUUGCGGAGAGCUGUGAUGGCACCACUGCACUCCAGCCUGUGUGACAGAGCGAGACUAUCUCAAGAAAAAAAAAAAAGGAUGAGGAUUUUUUUUGUUUUCAACAUGCUUUUUAACAUCCACUAUAUUACUCUCAUCU
rnacentral:lncRNA from 10 species